UCCCUGGUGGCUCAGAUGGUGAGGCGUCUGCCUGCAAUGCAGGUGACCCAGGUUCGAUCCCUGGGUCGGGAA
rnacentral:tRNA from 1 species